ensembl:lncRNA
AGACGCUGAGGCGGCCGGUGCCCCGGUUCCCCUCCCGACGCCUGCAGAGCUCCGAGCGGACGCAGCACGAAGCGAAGUUACGGCAGCAGAGCGACAUGAACGGGCUGAUAGAACCACGACUACCGGCUCCACUACUCUGUUUCUGCGGGUGGUGGUUGCAUCUGAUGGAGGUCACGUCUGAUGAUGGUUGUCCCUGCACUGGUCCUGCCUUACCCCUGGCUUAAUAAUCCACAAUAUUAGAAUCAUUUAUGUUGUAGGAAUCGGAUGUACUGUACAUCUUUUAAGUUGUUCACACCUUCUUCCCUACUGUUUUCCCCUCAGGUUUCUCCAGGUUGAAGGUUUUUUACAUUUUGGGGUUUAGGGGACAGGGUGUUGCAUGUUUACAGAUUGCAAAGCUGAACAAAAUAAAAUGAUUUGAAUUGAAUAAACACGUUGACCAGAGGAAUCUGCUUUGUGCACUCUGACUCCCUUUACACAAAGAAUCCUCAAGUGAGGAUGAGGGAGAUGCAGCUGAU